rnacentral:lncRNA from 1 species
AAAAAAAAAAAAAAAAAAAAAAAAAAAAAAAAAAAAAAAACAGGGUAGAAAUGAAUUUUUUUAAUAAACAAAGCAUAUGAGGCAUAAUUUCAUCUAGAAUAUUAAGUUCUUUUGGGGAUAGACCAUACGAGGAUAGUCCUCAGUUUCGAAUAUAGCGAAAGAAUAGAGAUAAAUGAGUAAAUUUUAUUAAUUUCAUUAUUACCUAAAAUAUUAAUUAUCACUUCAGAUGUAUGUAUUUACAUUACUCUCAUAAGAUUAUUACUAUUAAAUAUUAAAUAUAUUAGCAAGCAUUUAUUAUCAUUUUAAUAUGAUAUGGAUAUUUAUUUUUCA